ensembl:snRNA U6 U6 spliceosomal RNA
GUGCUCAUUUUAGCAGCACAUAUACUAAAAUUGAAAUGACACAGAAAUUAGCAUGGCCCUUGCACAAGGAUGACACUCAAAUUCAUGAAGCAUUCCGUAUUAUU